UACGUAGGGCGCAAGCGUUAUCCGGAAUUAUUGGGCGUAAAGGGCUCGUAGGCGGUAGUUCAAGUCAGGUGUGAAAUCCGACGGCUUAACCGGAGGACUGCACCUGAUACUGGGCUGCUAGAGGUAAGGAGAGGAAGGUGGAAUUCCCGGUGUAGCGGUGAAAUUCGUAGAUAUUCGGAGGAACACCAGUGGCGAAGGCGGCUCACUGGCUCGAUACUGACGCUGAGGUGCGAAAGCGUGGGGAGCAAACAGG
rnacentral:rRNA from 1 species